rnacentral:rRNA from 1 species
GACGAACGCUGGCGGCGUGCCUAACACAUGCAAGUCGAACGGAACUUCUUUAAAGGAUUUCUUCGGAAUGAAUUUGAUUAAGUUUAGUGGCGGACGGGUGAGUAACGCGUGAGUAACCUGCCUCUAAGAGGGGAAUAACAUUCUGAAAAGAAUGCUAAUACCGCAUAACAUAUAUUUAUCGCAUGGUAGAUAUAUCAAAGAUUUAUCGCUUAGAGAUGGACUCGCGUCCGAUUAGUUAGUUGGUGAGGUAACGGCUCACCAAGACCGCGAUCGGUAGCCGGACUGAGAGGUUGAACGGCCACAUUGGGACUGAGACACGGCCCAGACUCCUACGGGAGGCAGCAGUGGGGGAUAUUGCGCAAUGGGGGAAACCCUGACGCAGCAACGCCGCGUGAAGGAUGAAGGUCUUCGGAUUGUAAACUUCUUUUAUUAAGGACGAAGAAAGUGACGGUAC